rnacentral:rRNA from 1 species
AACGAACGCUGGCGGCAUGCCUAACACAUGCAAGUCGAACGAACCCUUCGGGGUUAGUGGCGCACGGGUGCGUAACGCGUGGGAACCUACCAUCAGGUUCGGAAUAACAGUUAGAAAUGACUGCUAAUACCGGAUAAUGUCUUCGGACCAAAGAUUUAUCGCCUUUUGAUGGGCCCGCGUAAGAUUAGGUAGUUGGUGGGUAAAGGACCUACCAAGCCGACGAUCUUUAGUCUGGUCUGAGAGGAUGAUCAGCCACACUGGGACUGAGACACGGCCCAGACUCCUACGGGAGGCAGCAGUGGGGAAGUAUUGGACAAUAGGGCGGAAAGACCUGAUCCAGCAAUGCCGCGUGAGUGAUGAAGG